GUGAAUCAUCGAAUCUUUGAACGCAUCUUGCGCUCUUUGGUAUUCCGAAGAGCAUGUCUGUCUGAGUGUCACGAAACUCUCAACCUCCUUUCCUUUGUGAUCGGCUGGUUGGAUCAUGGGCGCUUGCCGGCCAGGUCGGCUCGCCUGAAAUGCAUUUGCGAUGUUGUGUCCUUGUGAGUUGGCCCGACUAGGCGUGAUGGUAACGACGUUCGUCUAGGAUCCCGCUUCGGCGAGGAGCCGCUCCUGUUGGGCGUUUGCCUUCGCAUGAACACUCAUAUCUUUGGUUUAGACCUCAGAUCAGGCAGGAUUACCCGCUGAACUUAAGCAUAUCAAUAAGCGGAGGA
rnacentral:misc_RNA from 1 species